rnacentral:rRNA from 1 species
GACGAACGCUGGCGGCGUGCUUAACACAUGCAAGUCGAACGGAAAGGCCCUGCUUUUGUGGUGUGCUCGAGUGGCGAACGGGUGAGUAACACGUGAGUAACCUGCCCUUGACUUUGGGAUAACUUCAGGAAACUGGGGCUAAUACCGGAUAGGAGCUCCUGCUGCAUGGUGGGGGUUGGAAAGUUUCGGCGGUUGGGGAUGGACUCGCGGCUUAUCAGCUUGUUGGUUGGGUAGUGGCUUACCAAGGCUUUGAAGGGUAGCCGGCCUGAGAGGGUGACCGGCCACAAUGGGACUGAGAUACGGCCCAGACUGCUACGGGAGGCAGCAGUGGGGAAUAUUGCACAAUGGGCGGAAGCCUGAUGCAGCAACGCCGCGUGCGGGAUGACGGCCUUCGGGUUGUAAACCGCUUUCGCCUGUGACGAAGCGUGAGUGACGGUAAUGGGUAAAGAAGCACCGGCUAACUACGUG